ACUGCAGUGUUAGUUGGAGGAGUUUGGGGGAUUCCAUGGGAGUAGCUGGCUUUAUAUCCUGCCUACUGCAGCUGCUCUCUUACUUAACUCCGUCUGGCCUCCCAGUGGACAUGCAAACCAAGAUGUCCUGGUCUCUCCCAGCUCUUUGGCUCACUUAUUCUCAACUUAUCGUACAGUAUUUGUCUGUAAUUUAUUUACUUUCUUGGAUACGUCUCAUUUAGCACAAUUUUUACUGUCAGCGGCACCAACCUUGUCAAAUAAAAGUUAAGUAAAUAAAAAGGAAUUUCUCUCUGUCAUCUCUAUCGUUGCUUUUUUCAUUGUUUUUCUCUCUUUAUUUCAGUCUCCAUUGCUUUCGACAUAUCUCGGCUCCAAACCACUAAGCCAUAUGUCUAUUCUCCUGGGUGUUGAGCUGCAAAUCCCCAUCGACGUGGUGGGAGACAUCUGCUGAGCACACAGAAAAGCAGCAGUGGGAGCAGAGUUCAGUGUUACAGCAGGAGAAGCUUCUCCCCUCGCAGCACCGGAGACGGAGCUUUCAGCCGACUCAGGCCUUACUCACUGCCAUAACCAAAGUGAACAGCACACUGAGUCCUCUGUAGCUCUCAGGCUGCAGAGCAGCGGGCCUCGGCCUCUCGGGGUGAGACACUUGACCGGCUCAACGCGGGAUCCAGCUAUGUUUCACCAGACGAGAAGACAAGACGCAUGGCGAGAGGCUUUUGGGAAACCCAGACCCGGAGCAGACCACCGCAGGCUGUGAACUGAGGCCAAGGCCAGAUCCCAGGCUGCCAGAUGUGGGGGUGUGGAUCAGCGGCUGUGGCCAUGCCUGUGGCUGGCUGCACUAGCUGACCUGGGCCCGUGUGUGUGUGUGUGUGUGUGUGUGUGUAUAUACCUUUAAUGACAUGCACAGUCUCUUUUCUUGCAUUGUGCUGAGAGAGAGGAGGCAGCUACUGAUUAAUGUGUUUUCUAAGGUGCGCACACACAGUAUGACACAAGAAAGUCUUAACGGAUGAGAAAAUGUUUUUAGAGCAUAUGGACGAGCAUGCACAUUAAGUGUAUAUGUGUGCGUCCGUGUGUACAGAGUGUGCUGUAAGUCUAACAGCUCCCCCUCGGACUGCCAGACAGUGUUAUUGCAGCUGCGACCAGCCCUCCUCCUCCUCUUCCUCCCCUGACUCACACUUCAGGUGCUUUCCAGCCUCGGCUCUUCUCCUUCACUUCCUCCUCUUCUCUUCUUCUCCUCCUCCUCCCAUCCUUCCUCUUCUCUUUUUUUCUUAAUUUAGUUUUCUCAGACUGUCCAUCGCUGUUCUACCCACAUUCUUUGAAUUCAUGCCAACAAGAGAAUGACAAACAAUCCCUACUUGGCUAGACAGGCUACUGCCUCCCUCAUUAACCCCUCUUCUGUUGGUCGUUGGCAUGACAACGGCCAGAUUGAGUGGGUUUACCUACUUCCUGCUCGCUAAGCCAAACAGUAAUUUGAGGGUGUGUUUUGUAGGUAUGACCUUGAGUACAUGCAUGGGUGUGUGUGCAUGCAUAGUCACAUGUGUCUCUAAGGUAUGUUUUCUGUGAAUAAACGCUGGCAAGCUAAAUGAAAGCUAACCAUCUUUUAGCUAUGCUUUCACUGCAUAAAUUACAUUUUGUUCUAUUAGCAGUGAUACGGAAAGUAGCUUUUCCACAGUUUUAACCAAAUAAGAUGUUCCUGCCUACUGGAAUGCUGGGUUUUUUCUGGAGUAUAUACAGUGAAUGAUGUUUUUUUUUUUGUUUCUUUGAAUGGAAAAAAAUAAAAACCCAUGGAAGAACAGAUAAGACAUGAUAAGAAAUUGCUUAGCACUUCUCAUGGAAAACCCCUUGGAAAUAUUUGUAUAUUUUGAGCCUAAACCCUUCAGCGUCAUUUCUUAACACACCCCUGUAUUUAACCCUUAAUUAACCAGGAAUGUUGGCCAAGUGCAUGUCUUUGAGAUAAAAGCCCUGAUAAGGAAGCCAAAAAUGUUUUCUGCCAAAAGGCCAAAACCUAUACCUGGAAGCUUUUUAACUGAAGAUUGAACUUCUGAUAAAAUGUGAACUUACUAGGAUUAUAACUCAAGCCUUGUUUCAAUCAGGAACGGUUGAAUUCUGCCUGAAAGAGUGUACGUAAAAAAUGUGUUUUAUGUUCCUUCUCAAGAAGGUUAUGAAGUGCUCAAUGAAACAGAAUAUAGAAGGUCUGGUUUUAUCUUAUCUUUUAGCUGACAUUGGCUGUAAAAGAACCAAAAAAUACUGUACACAAUAAACCCUAUCACUAGACGGAUAUAUGAUAUUAAUUCAUAUCCAUGAAUUUUACUGGAUGAAGGUCUGAGGA